rnacentral:lncRNA from 1 species
AAAUUAAUUCGAGCCGAGCUCGAGAGAGCCUAAUUGCAAGUCGAGCGAGCUCGAGCCCUAAACGAGCCGCUUGAAAUUCUCAACAUUUUACGAUCAAUAGUUUAAUUUGUAUAGAACAUUAUCUAUAAUUUGAUAUAAAAAUAUGUCUAAUAAUUCAAAGUACAAAAUAAUUAUAUGAAAUAUAGUAUUAUAAUAUGACAAAAAAUAAUUUAUGAGUUGAAUAUCUAAUUUUUUCAGUCUCACAUGUCUUUUCUUCCGCCUUCAAUCUCUAUAUUAUUCAUUUUCAUUUACGCAGUCAAAAAUAAAUAAAUUAUAUAGAUAAAUAUUGGAUUAAACUAUCCGAUCAUAUAUAACUAAAAUUAAAAUUUUAUAUGAAUAAUAAUUUUUUACUUUAAAAAUAUUCUGUAUAUUUUCUCAAACAUACAAUUAAAGAUAGGCAACGGCGGGUAUAUGAUGUUACUUGGUAACUUAGAGGGCUUCCGGCUUGGCCACUUAGGGUGAGAGAUAGAAAAAGAGAGAGAGAAACAUAUUGAAAAUUUAGAGCUCUGUAAAAAAAAGAAAAAAAGGAAAAUUAUAUAAAUUUAGUAAAAUUUUGCUCUUUUAUUUGUCUAUUGGAUUUGUUUUUAUGGGCCAACAACAUUGGGCCAAUUUUAACUAAACUCAGAUUAUUCACUCAGCCUAUAUAUAAUUAAAAUAU